CAAAAAUAGAAUUAACAAGGAAGUAGCUGGGCCAAUUCAACUGACAUAUAGUACUAUAAUAUAUUAAUAUUCCUCCAUUGUUACACUUAAACUUAAAUUUCUCUCUUCCUCCACACUUGUUCAUCCAAGAAAUAAGGGUAAAAGAGGUGUGUAUUUUGGUGUUGGUGCAGUGCCAAGAGAUUGGUGUAAAUGAUUAUAAUGGAAUCAACAUGAGUCAGCUUAGUGAUCCAACGGUGAUGAAUCAGUUCACCAACAUAGUCCACCACCCUCACUGAGCAUCUCAUGAACUCUCAGAUUGCUCAAAAAGCCACCUAUGUGAUCAGCUGCAUGAUUUUUUAUUAAUUAAUUUUGGUUAAAUAAAUGGCAGGGAAGAGGAGUGGAAUAAGUCUUUUAACUAUUCUUCUAAUCUGGAUUUCUUGUCCAAAUGCAUUGCUCAAACUCAAGGAGACUUGCCGCAGAGGUUGUGUACAGCAGCAGAGCUGAAGUUCUACUUCACAAACUUCAUUGCUAGAAAGAAAUCCACAAUAUCUUUUCUCAAACCAAACACAAAUUGUAACUCACCCGAUUUCACGGACUCUCAAGAGAUGCCGGCCCGGACUUCUAACUGUCAGUCUUGCUGUGAGGGCUUCUUCUGCAUGAUACGAUCGUAUUGCCCAACGAACACACAAGAAAUACCUUGUGCUGGCAGGCAUUAAUUACUGCCUAAUGGGAUCUACUUCUGAGAAACCUUGCUACAGGUUGACAUCGUGCAAUCCCAACUCAAGUACACAGAAUAUAAGCCAAUAUGGAGCAAUGUUGAUUGUGAGUUUCCUUCACGUGAAUUUAUGGUUGUGUUGGAGAUGAUAAGGAACAGCAACGAGGUUAAUUGUCGAACAUUCUUGUUCAUCUUCUACAACUGUUAUGAGCAAGUCAUCACAAUCGGGGAAAAGAGGCAUGCUAGAUCAAGGGAGACUGCAGUGAGAAGUGUCAAGGAAAAUGCUCGUGCACAAGCACGAUGGCAAGCUGCAAAGGAUGCAAUUCCCAUUCAUUUUCACGCAGAACGUGGUUCAUCCUCCAAUACGUGAGAUUGAAGACGCUA